rnacentral:rRNA from 1 species
GAUGAACGCUGGCGGCGUGCUUAACACAUGCAAGUCGAACGAUGAUGCCCAGCUUGCUGGGUGGAUUAGUGGCGAACGGGUGAGUAACACGUGAGUAACCUGCCCUUGACUCUGGGAUAAGCCUGGGAAACUGGGUCUAAUACCGGAUACGACCAUCUGGCGCAUGUCAUGGUGGUGGAAAGCUUUUGUGGUUUUGGAUGGACUCGCGGCCUAUCAGCUUGUUGGUGGGGUAAUGGCCUACCAAGGCGACGACGGGUAGCCGGUCUGAGAGGGUGACCGGCCACACUGGGACUGAGACACGGCCCAGACUCCUACGGGAGGCAGCAGUGGGGAAUAUUGCACAAUGGGCGCAAGCCUGAUGCAGCGACGCCGCGUGAGGGAUGACGGCCUUCGGGUUGUAAACCUCUUUCAGUAGGGAAGAAGCGAAAGUGACGGUACCUGCAGAAGAAGCGCCGGCUAACUACGUG